rnacentral:lncRNA from 1 species
GGAUUGUUGGACCUAGGGCUCAGGCUCUAGGUUGUGAGCAUCAUAUCAUCAUUAACGGAGAUUAUAGAGAAUGCAUCAUUGGAGAGCGAGCUGGUGGUCAUUGUUACGGUGGAGUGCUCUUCUUGAAAAACUUUUGGAUUAUAACUUCAACAAAAUAUAUAUAUAUAUAUCUUUGGUAUGCUUGCAGGAAGGUAAUCAAUGGCAGAGAACUUGAGGGUGGUGACCGCAAAGUACUUUUCUUCGAGGGGUUAAUUGGAGAAAAAAAUCACAUGACCGCCAUUUGUUCCUAUGCAUUAAAAUGAAAGCCCAAGGUGUUAC